GGCGCUGUCGCCUUGGUGGCAUAGAGAAGAUUGAGCACACAAGAAGAAUAAAUAAAUGUCUCGUCUUUCUCAUAUCACAGGCCAAACGAGACUCCAGAAAACAGAUCCACACCAAAAUCCCAUCUGUUUGACACGAUGCUGCCUGACAAGCAAAGUUCUGGAGGCCAAACCCAGUUUCAGUGGUUUGGAGGGAUAAGCCAAUAAAUAAGAGCUGUCAGGACACUCAGUGAGGAGGAUGGCAAUAAAACUGCAUAAAUCAAG